CAUGCGAGCUGAGGGCUGGGUCUUUGCGGGCGAGGUGAGAGGUUCGUGCGUUCAACUGGCCUACAAAGUCCCAGUUCUCGGCUCCCAGC
ensembl:miRNA